GGCGCUGGUGGUUGGCGCUCCUUAUUACCAGGACGGGGUUCAAGUCCCUGCGGUGCC
rnacentral:sRNA from 1 species